rnacentral:rRNA from 1 species
GUAGUUUGAUCCUGGCUCAGGAUGAACGCUAGCGACAGGCCUAACACAUGCAAGUCGAGGGGCAGCGGAGAGGUAGCAAUACCUUUGCCGGCGACCGGCGCACGGGUGAGUAACACGUAUGCAAUCCACCUGUAACAGGGGGGAUAACCCGGAGAAAUCCGGGACUAAUACCCCAGUAAUAUGGGCGCUCCGCAUGGAGAGCCCAUUAAAGAGAGCAAUUUUGGUUACAGACGAGCAUGCGCUCC